AUGCUCACUUCGGCAACACAUAUAUUAAAAUUGGAACAGAGAUUAGCAUGGCCUCUGUGCAAGGAUGACACGUAAACUUGUGAAGCGUUUCAUUUUUUU
ensembl:snRNA U6 U6 spliceosomal RNA